rnacentral:rRNA from 1 species
GACGAACGCUGGCGGCGUGCCUAAUACAUGCAAGUUGAGCGCUGAAGGUUGGUACUUGUACCAACUGGAUGAGCAGCGAACGGGUGAGUAACGCGUGGGGAAUCUGCCUUUGAGCGGGGGACAACAUUUGGAAACGAAUGCUAAUACCGCAUAAAAACUUUAAACACAAGUUUUAAGUUUGAAAGAUGCAAUUGCAUCACUCAAAGAUGAUCCCGCGUUGUAUUAGCUAGUUGGUGAGGUAAAGGCUCACCAAGGCGAUGAUACAUAGCCGACCUGAGAGGGUGGUCGGCCACAUUGGGACUGAGACACGGCCCAAACUCCUACGGGAGGCAGCAGUAGGGAAUCUUCGGCCAUGGGCGAAAGUCUGACCGAGCAACGCCGCGUGAGUGAAGAAGGUUUUCGGAUCGUAAAACUCUGUUGGUAGGGAAGAACGUUGGUGAGAGUGGAAAGCUCAUCAAGUGACGGUAACUACCCAGAAAGGGACGGCUAACUACGUG